rnacentral:rRNA from 1 species
AUGACUCUCAAUAACGGAUAUGUCGACUCUUGCAUCGAUGAAAUAUGUAGCAAAAUGUGAUACUUGGUGUGAAUUAUAGAAUCUCAUGAAACAUAAAGCCUUUGAAUGCAAGUUACACCCUAAGCUAUUAGGACGAGAGCAUGUCUGUCGAGGUAUCAUGCAUCAUCAGCCCUUUCAACCCCCCACCCAUCAAGCUUUAGGUGAGGGGGAGAAAGAUGGCCUCUCAUGAUUUCAUCGAUCAUGGUUGGCCUAAAAAUGAGUCCCUAAUAGCUAUAGUGCCAUGACCAUCAAUGUUAAAGCUCCUGACGUGCCUCAUCUCUAGCGAUGUGCACUCAUUAUCUAUCUAGAACCUGUUAGACCCUUGUUGACUUUAAGCAUAUUAAUAAAUGGAAGAAAAAAAACUUACUAGGAUUCCCUUAGUAAAGGCAAAUGAACUAGAGAGAGCUCAACUUGAGAAUCAAGUGCUAUCGAUGAUCGAAUAGUAGUAUAGAGAAGCAUCUUUAGCGACGGACCAAGCCUAAGUCCUCUAAAAAGAGGCACUAGAGAAGGUGAGAGCCCCAUUGUACCUAGACCUUGUCACACCAUGAGGCGCUAUCUACGAGUCAACUUGUUUGAGAAUACAACCCCAAUCAGGUGGUAAAUUCCAUCCAAGGCUAAAUAUGAAUGAGAGACUAAUAGUCAACAAGUAUCACAAGGGAAUGAUGCAAAGGACUUUGAAAAGAGAGUCCAAAUGUGCUUGAAAUUAUAAAAAAAAAGAAGUGAAUGAGGCCGACAAAGCACCCCAAUUAAUUAUGGAAUGACAAAAGUUGAUCUAUUGAUCAGCUUAAGGCAUGGAUUGAUGUUGGUCACAACAGUGGACCAAGCCCAAGCUUUCGAUAUACCCAUAGAAACAUCAUCAUCAUGAUCAUGGAAUGCAGCAUACACAUCUUGGUGCACCUUGACACCUGUAUACUCUUGGGAUUAGCCUGUAAGCUCUCUAUCAGCUCAUCUUGAAACAUGAACCAAGGAGUUUGACAUGUGUAUAAGUCAAUAGGCCAGAAAACCUAUAAGGCGUAAGGACUGAUUAGUAAGAUCUCUUGUGGUGGCACUAUCAAUUGACUUUGAUCUUCUAAAAAUAGUUUGAGUGUAUGAAUGCCUGUCAGGACUAGGAAGAAUGGUGAACUAUGCAUGAGUAGGGCAAAGCCAGAGGAAUUCUAGUGGAGGCCCUCAAUGAUACUAAUGUGUAAAUCAUUCAUCUAACUUGGGUAUAAGGUUGAAAGAAAAAUUAACCCAUCUAGUAGCUAGUACCUUCUGAAGUUUCCCUUAGGAUAGCUAGAGCCCUUAGCAAGUUUUAUCAAAUAAAGCCAAUGAUUAGAGGCAUUAGGGGUACAACACCAUUGACUUAUUUCAUACUUUAAAUAGGUAAGAUGACAUAGUUGCUUCAUUGAACCGCACCAUGAAAUCGAGAUCUUUAAGUGGGCUAUUUUUGGUAAGCAAAAUUGUUGAUGCGAGAUGAACUGGAAGCUAAGUUAUAGUGCCUAACUAUAUGCUAAUUAAGAACCCACAAAGGGUGUUGGUUGAUUAAGAUAACAGGAUGUGGUCAUGAAAGUCAAAAUCCACUAAGGGGUGUGUAGCAACUCACAUUUUGAAUCAACUAGCCCCAAAACAUGUAUGGCGUUUAAGCGCGUGACCUAUACUCGAUCAUCAGGGCAAAGACUAGGCGUCGAUAAGUAGAAGGGUGCAGUGGUCCCCAUAAAACCCCAAGGCAUAAGCUUGGACAGAGCGACCAUCAAUGUAGAUCUUGGUAGUAGUAGCAAAUAUUCAAAUGAGAACUUUGAAGGCCAAAGAGGGGAAAUGUUACAUGUGAAUAGCACUUACACAUAAGUUAAUCAAUCCUAAGAGACGGGGGAAAGCUCAUCUGAUAAUGUGUCUAGUGUGAGCUUCAAAAGGGAAUUGGGUUAAAAUGCCUAAAUUGAGAUGCAACAACUGAUAACAACAUUAUAAGUCUAAAGACAUUGGAAGGGGCCUUAAGAAGAGUUAUAUUUUUUGUUUAACAGCCUGCCCACCUUGGAAAUAGUUUAACUAUAGGUAGGGUCUAGUGGCUAGAAGAGCACCAUAAGUUGCAUGGUGUAGGAUAAGUGGGAGCCCUAUUGAGCUUGGCUUUAAUUCAAUUUUUUGAAAUGACUUGAGAGAUGAAAAGUGGAAGCCCUUAAGCAAAAUUGAAAUACCACUACUGUUAAUGUCAUUUUACUUAUUUCGUGAAUUAGAGAUGGGGCAUGACCCUUUUUUUAGGCCAAAAGCCAACCUCGAUCAAUCAAUCUUGGUGGCAAACAUUGUCAGGUAGGGAGUUUGGCUAGGGUGGCAUAUUUAUUAAAGGAUAAUAUAGGUAUUUUAAGAUGAGCUCAGUGAGAACAGAAAUCUCAUGUAGAAUACAAGGGUAAAAGUUCAUUUGAUUUUGAUUUCCAGUAUGAAUACAAACUAUGAAAGCAUGGCCUAUCAAUCAUUUAGACCUUCAAAAUUUAAAGCAAUAAGUGUUAGCAAAGUUACCACAAGGAUAACUAACUUGUGACAGCCAAGCACUCACAGUGAUGUUGCUUUUUGAUCCAUCAAUGUUGGCUCUUCUUACCAUUAUAAAAAAAAAUUCACCAAGUGUUGGAUUGUUCACCCACUAAUAGGGAACUUGAGCUAGGUUUAGACUAUUGUGAGAAGUUAGUUUUACCCUAUUGAUGAUAGCGUCACAAUAGUAAUUCAACCUAGUACAAGAAGAACCAUUGAUUCACAUAAUUGGUCAUUACGCUUGGUUGAAAAGCCAUGGCAUAAAGCUACUAUGCUAGACUAUGACUGAAUGCCUCUAAGUUAGAAUCAGGGCUAGAAGCAAUGCACAUGCCCAUCACUUGAUUGUCGACCUAUAGUAGGGGUCCAUAGCCCUUAAAGGCAUAUGUCAUAGGUGUAGCCUUCAAGGCAGAUAAGCUAUUUGGGCCUUUUUGGAGCUUAAUUCCUACCGAGUGAUAGAUUGAAUC